rnacentral:rRNA from 1 species
AUACGGAGGAUGCGAGCGUUAUCCGGAUUUAUUGGGUUUAAAGGGAGCGUAGGUGGGAUAUUAAGUCAGCUGUGAAAGUUUGGGGCUCAACCUUAAAAUUGCAGUUGAUACUGGUUUCCUUGAGUACGGUACAGGUGGGCGGAAUUCGUGGUGUAGCGGUGAAAUGCUUAGAUAUCACGAAGAACUCCGAUCGCGAAGGCAGCUCACCGGGCCGGAACUGACACUGAUGCUCGAAAGGGCGGGUAUCAAACAGGAUUAGAUACCCUGGUAGUCCGCACAGUAAACGAUGAAUACUCGCUGUUUGCGAUACACAGUAAGCGGCCAAGCGAAAGCGUUAAGUAUUCCACCUGGGGAGUACGCCGGCAACGGUGAAACUCAAAUGAAUUGGCGGGG